CUUCCUCCCUUUCUAAUCUCCAUGACUCCACUCUUUCAUCCGUCCUCCCUUCCCUUCCACAACCAGCAGCGCCAAGACCCCUCCGGCCUCCAUGUCGCCUCCACGCCGCCGCACAAUCGGUAGUCCCAAUACCCCUCCGCCCUCCACGUUGCAUUCAGCCGCUACACAGCCGGUAGCCCCAAGGAUGUAAGGCCCCCACCAAACGCAGUCGUAGCCAACCCCCUCCACUUUGCUAGUCGCAGUCAAAUGCCUCCACUUCGCCACACAUAGUCGCACGCCGUGCUCUUCAGGUUUGUUUGAGCAAGGGACUUCAUCUUCUGGACCUAUUGAAAAUGAUGGAAUUGAGAAUUUGUAUGAUAAUGAAGAAAAUCAAGAUCAAGGUGGUGGUAGGGAGAACGAAGGUCCUCAUGAGGGAACAAGUGGUGUGGAUGAACCAUUACUUCGAUUCACGCCUACUUUUAGUCUGUGAAUGGACUCUACAAAGUAUUAAAUAUAAGAUUGUAAUUCUAGGGGGCUUGAAGCCUUUAACUCUUGGGUUGUAAACUUGUAAUGUUGUAGUGUUUGUUUGACUAUUUUGUGUUACAAUAUUUAAUGCUUAUUUGAAGUUUGAAGUAUUGAACUUUGAGUUUGAUGAUGAAAAGCAUAGACUUUAUUGUGCAUUA